rnacentral:rRNA from 1 species
UACUAGGGGAGCAAGCGUUGUCCGGAUUUAUUGGGCGUAAAGGGCUCGUAGGUGGGCUAGUAAGUCAAAAUUGAAAUCCAAUGGCUUAACCAUUGUCACGGUUUUGAUACUGCUAGUCUUGAGUGAGAUAGAGGUAAGCGGAAUUCCUGGUGUAGCGGUGAAAUGCGUAGAUAUCAGGAGGAACGCCAAAGGAGAAGUCAGCUUACUGGAUCUAUACUGACACUGAGGAGCGAAAGCGUGGGUAGCAAAC